CCUACGGGCGGCAGCAGUGGGGAAUAUUGGACAAUGGGCGAAAGCCUGAUCCAGCCAUGCCGCGUGUGUGAAGAAGGCCUUCGGGUUGUAAAGCACUUUCAGUGGGGAAGAAAGCCUUGGGGCUAAUACCCUCGAGGAAGGACAUCACCCACAGAAGAAGCACCGGCUAACUCCGUGCCAGCAGCCGCGGUAAUACGGAGGGUGCGAGCGUUAAUCGGAAUUACUGGGCGUAAAGCGCGCGUAGGCGGUCUGAUAAGCCGGUUGUGAAAGCCCGGGCUCAACCUGGGAACGGCAUCCGGAACUGUCAGGCUAGAGUGCAGGAGAGGAAGGUAGAAUUCCCGGUGUAGCGGUGAAAUGCGUAGAGAUCGGGAGGAAUACCAGUGGCGAAGGCGGCCUUCUGGACUGACACUGACGCUGAGGUGCGAAAGCGUGGGUAGCAAACAGGAUUAGAACCCCUGUAGUC
rnacentral:rRNA from 1 species